GACGAACGCUGGCGGCGUGCUUAACACAUGCAAGUCGAACGGAAAGGCCCUGCUUUUGUGGGGUGCUCGAGUGGCGAACGGGUGAGUAACACGUGAGUAACCUGCCCUUGACUUUGGGAUAACUUCAGGAAACUGGGGCUAAUACCGGAUAGGAGCUCCUGCUUCAUGGUGGGGGUUGGAAAGUUUCGGCGGUUGGUGAUGGACUCGCGGCUUAUCAGCUUGUUGGUGGGGUAGUGUCUUACCAAGGCUUUGACGGGUAGCCGGCCUGAGAGGGUGACCGGACACACUGGGACUGAGAUACGGCACAGACUCCUACGGGAGGCAGCAGAGGGGAAUAUUGCACAAUGGGAGGAAGCCUGAUGCAGCAACGCCGCGUGCGGGAUGACGGCCUUCGGGUUGUAAACCGAUUUCGCCUGUGACGAAGCGUGAGUGACGGUAAUGGGUAAAGAAGCACCGGCUAACUACGUG
rnacentral:rRNA from 1 species